rnacentral:rRNA from 1 species
GAUGAACGCUGGCGUCGUGCCUAAUACAUGCAAGUCGAGCGAACGGACGAGAAGCUUGCUUUUCUGAUGUUAGCGGCGGACGGGUGAGUAACACGUGGAUAACCUACCUAUAAGACUGGGAUAACUUCGGGAAACCGGAGCUAAUACCGGAUAAUAUUUUGAACCGCAUGGUUCAAAAGUGAAAGACGGUCUUGCUGUCACUUAUAGAUGGAUCCGCGCUGCAUUAGCUAGUUGGUAAGGUAACGGCUUACCAAGGCAACGAUGCAUAGCCGACCUGAGAGGGUGAUCGGCCACACUGGAACUGAGACACGGUCCAGACUCCUACGGGAGGCAGCAGUAGGGAAUCUUCCGCAAUGGGCGAAAGCCUGACGGAGCAACGCCGCGUGAGUGAUGAAGGUCUUCGGAUCGUAAAACUCUGUUAUUAGGGAAGAACAUAUGUGUAAGUAACUGUGCACAUCUUGACGGUGCCUAAUCAGAAAGCCACGGCUAACUACGUG